CUCUUUAUAUUAAAAUCUCCAUGUAAGUCUAUAAAGUGAGAGAAUCCAGACUCAUCUUCACACAAAAUGACUACCAGAAGAAUCAUUGGUCUUUGUUUUGUCUUGGGAAUUGUGUGUAUUGCUUUCCUGUCGAUUUCAGGAUCCGCAGGAUUUGUUUAUAGUUGCACGAAGGCAGGAAAUUGUCCAGAUGGUAAAGCUUGUUACACUUUGUGUCAAUUUUUUGGCUAUAAAGAUUUUGGUGGGUUAUGCAUUGAAGAUAAAAAUCAGUGUUGCUGCGUAAAGGAUGAUGGCCCUGGCCAUCCUUAGCUACAUACAAUAUCAGUGUUUUGUUACCAUGGUCGUAACAAAAGUUUCCAUAUUAAAAAUGGAAAUAUAAAUAAAGUGUUUCAAUUUAAUUAAGUUA